UGGGGAAUCUUGCGCAAUGGGCGAAAGCCUGACGCAGCCAUGCCGCGUGAGUGAUGAAGGCCUUAGGGUUGUAAAACUCUUUCACCGGGGACGAUAAUGACGGUACCCGGAGAAGAAGCCCCGGCUAACUUCGUGCCAGCAGCCGCGGUAAUACGAAGGGGGCUAGCGUUGCUCGGAAUUACUGGGCGUAAAGGGCGCGUAGGCGGAUCAGCAAGUUGGGGGUGAAAGCCCGGGGCUCAACCUCGGAAUUGCCUUCAAAACUGCUGAUCUAGAGUACGGGAGAGGUGUGUGGAACUCCGAGUGUAGAGGUGAAAUUCGUAGAUAUUCGGAAGAACACCAGUGGCGAAGGCGACACACUGGCCCGUUACUGACGCUGAGGCGCGAAAGCGUGGGGAGCAAACAGGAUUAGAUACCCUGGUAGUCCACGCUGUAAACGAUGAUUGCUAGUUGUCGGCAGGCAUGCCUGUCGGUGACNCAGCUAACGCAUUAAGCAAUCCGCCU
rnacentral:rRNA from 1 species